GCGGAUGGCCGGACGAUCGCACCCCUCGGGGUGAGGAAAGUCCGGACUCCGGGAAGGCAUGGCGCCGGGUAACGCCCGGCCGGGGCAACCCGAGGGACAGCGCCACAGAAAACAGACCGCCGCCGGUGCGCCGGAGGCAAGGGUGAAACGGUGGGGUAAGAGCCCACCGCGGGACUGGCAACAGGACCGGCACGGCAAGCCCCGCCAGGAGCAAUGCCAAAUAGGGACCGCGCGGGCCUUCGGGCCCAGGCCGCUUCCAGCCAGCGGUCCGGGUUGGCAGCAAGAGCGCAUCGGCAACGGUGCGCCCAGAUGAAUGAUCGUCGGCGGACAUAUGUCCGGCCACAGAAUCCGGCUUACAGGCCAUCCGCACAC
rnacentral:RNase_P_RNA from 1 species